AUUGAACGCUGGCGGCAGGCUUAACACAUGCAAGUCGAGCGGUAACAGAUCUAGCUUGCUAGAUGCUGACGAGCGGCGGACGGGUGAGUAACGCGUAGGAACCUGCCCAAUAGUGGGGGAUAGCCCGGUGAAAACCGGAUUAAUACCGCAUACGCUCUACGGAGGAAAGGGGGCUUCGGCUCUCGCUAUUGGAUGGGCCUGCGUGAGAUUAGCUAGUUGGUGAGGUAAUGGCUCACCAAGGCGACGAUCUCUAGCUGGUCUGAGAGGAUGAUCAGCCACACUGGGACUGAGACACGGCCCAGACUCCUACGGGAGGCAGCAGUGGGGAAUAUUGCACAAUGGGCGCAAGCCUGAUGCAGCCAUGCCGCGUGUGUGAAGAAGGCUUUCGGGUUGUAAAGCACUUUCAGUUGUGAGGAAAAGUUAGUCGUUAAUACCGGCUAGCCUUGACGUUAGCAACAGAAGAAGCACCGGCUAACUCAG
rnacentral:rRNA from 1 species